rnacentral:RNase_P_RNA from 1 species
UUGGCGUGACGCACGGCCGCGGGCGGGAGCAAUCUCGCACGAGGAAAGUCCGAGCACGGCAGGACACGGUGGCGGGUAACGCCCGCCCGAUGCGGGGACCAGCAUCGAGGGAAAGUGCCACAGAGACUGAACCGCCGAUGGCCGCGUUUUCGGACGCGGAUCAGGUAAGGGUGAAAAGGUGCGGUAAGAGCGCACCGGCCGGGGAGUAAUCCUCGGUGCAUGGCAAACCCCACCGCGUGCAAGAUCACAUAGGCGUUCGCGAGAGCUUUCGGGCUUUUCGACGGCCGGUCCGGCUGGAAGAACGCGGGUAGAUCGCUUGAGUCUUGCCGCGAGGUGAGACCUAGAGAAAUGGUCGUGGCGCCGCUUCGGCGGCGAACAGAACUCGGCUUACAUGUCGCGCCAGCCCA